rnacentral:rRNA from 1 species
UACGGGAGGCAGCAGUGGGGAAUAUUGCACAAUGGGCGCAAGCCUGAUGCAGCCAUGCCGCGUGUAUGAAAAAGGCCUUCGGGUUGUAAAGUACUUUCAGUCGUGAGGAAGGUGUUAAGGUUAAUAACCUUAGCAAUUGACGUUAGCGACAGAAGAAGCACCGGCUAACUCCGUGCCAGCAGCCGCGGUAAUACGGAGGGUGCGAGCGUUAAUCGGAAUUACUGGGCGUAAAGGGCACGCAGGCGGUUAAUUAAGUUGGAUGUGAAAUCCCCGGGCUUAACCUGGGAAUGGCAUUCAAGACUGGUUAGCUAGAGUCUUGUAGAGGGGGUAGAAUUCCAUGUGUAGCGGUGAAAUGCGUAGAGAUGUGGAGGAAUACCGGUGGCGAAGGCGGCCCCUGGACAAGACUGACGCUCAUGUGCGAAAGCGUGGGGAGCAAAC